GUCUCGAUGGUCUAAUGGUUAUGAUUUGCGUCUCACACACGCAAGGUUCCCAGUUCGAUCCUGGGUCGAGACA
rnacentral:tRNA from 1 species